UACGGGGGGAGCAAGCGUUGUUCGGAAUUACUGGGCGUAAAGGGCUCGUAGGCGGCCAACUAAGUCGGAUGUGAAAUCCCCAGGCUUAACCUGGGAACUGCAUCCGAUACUGGAUGGCUUGAAUCCGGGAGAGGGAUGCAGAAUUCCAGGUGUAGCGGUGAAAUGCGUAGAUAUCUGGAGGAAUACCGGUGGCGAAGGCGGCAUCCUGGACCGGCAUUGACGCUGAGGAGCGAAAGCUAGGGGAGCAAACGGG
rnacentral:rRNA from 1 species